rnacentral:rRNA from 1 species
UUAAGCGACUAAGCGUACACGGUGGAUGCCCUGGCAGUCAGAGGCGAUGAAGGACGUGCUAAUCUGCGAUAAGCGUCGGUAAGGUGAUAUGAACCGUUAUAACCGGCGAUUUCCGAAUGGGGAAACCCAGUGUGAUUCGUCACACUAUCAUUACGUGAAUACAUAGCGUAAUGAAGCGAACCGGGGGAACUGAAACAUCUAAGUACCCCGAGGAAAAGAAAUCAACCGAGAUUCCCCCAGUAGCGGCGAGCGAACGGGGAGCAGCCCAGAGUCUGAAUCAGCUUGUGUGUUAGUGGAACGGUCUGGAAAGUCCGACGGUACAGGGUGAUAGUCCCGUACACCAAAAUGCACAGGUUGUGAACUCGAAGAGUAGGGCGGGACACGUGGUAUCCUGUCUGAAUAUGGGGGGACCAUCCUCCAAGGCUAAAUACUCCUGACUGACCGAUAGUGAACCAGUACCGUGAGGGAAAGGCGAAAAGAACCCCGGCGAGGGGAGUGAAAAAGAACCUGAAACCGUGUACGUACAAGCAGUGGGAGCCUCUUUAUGGGGUGACUGCGUACCUUUUGUAUAAUGGGUCAGCGACUUAUAUUCUGUAGCAAGGUUAACCGUAUAGGGGAGCCGAAGGGAAACCGAGUCUUAACUGGGCGUUAAGUUGCAGGGUAUAGACCCGAAACCCGGUGAUCUAGCCAUGGGCAGGUUGAAGGUUGGGUAACACUAACUGGAGGACCGAACCGACUAAUGUUGAAAAAUUAGCGGAUGACUUGUGGCUGGGGGUGAAAGGCCAAUCAAACCGGGAGAUAGCUGGUUCUCCCCGAAAGCUAUUUAGGUAGCGCCUCGUGAAUUCAUCUUCGGGGGUAGAGCACUGUUUCGGCUAGGGGGUCAUCCCGACUUACCAACCCGAUGCAAACUGCGAAUACCGAAGAAUGUUAUCACGGGAGACACACGGCGGGUGCUAACGUCCGUCGUGAAGAGGGAAACAACCCAGACCGCCAGCUAAGGUCCCAAAGUCAUGGUUAAGUGGGAAACGAUGUGGGAAGGCACAGACAGCCAGGAUGUUGGCUUAGAAGCAGCCAUCAUUUAAAGAAAGCGUAAUAGCUCACUGGUCGAGUCGGCCUGCGCGGAAGAUGUAACGGGGCUAAACCAUGCACCGAAGCUGCGGCAGCGACACUAUGUGUUGUUGGGUAGGGGAGCGUUCUGUAAGCCGUUGAAGGUGUACUGUGAGGUAUGCUGGAGGUAUCAGAAGUGCGAAUGCUGACAUAAGUAACGAUAAUGCGGGUGAAAAACCCGCACGCCGGAAGACCAAGGGUUCCUGUCCAACGUUAAUCGGGGCAGGGUGAGUCGACCCCUAAGGCGAGGCCGAAAGGCGUAGUCGAUGGGAAACAGGUUAAUAUUCCUGUACUUGGUGUUACUGCGAAGGGGGGACGGAGAAGGCUAUGUUAGCCGGGCGACGGUUGUCCCGGUUUAAGCAUGUAGGCGGAGGUUCCAGGUAAAUCCGGUACCUUUUAACGCUGAGGUGUGAUGACGAGGCACUACGGUGCUGAAGUAACAAAUGCCCUGCUUCCAGGAAAAGCCUCUAAGCAUCAGGUAACACGAAAUCGUACCCCAAACCGACACAGGUGGUCAGGUAGAGAAUACCAAGGCGCUUGAGAGAACUCGGGUGAAGGAACUAGGCAAAAUGGUGCCGUAACUUCGGGAGAAGGCACGCUGAUAUGUAGGUGAAGUGAUUUACUCAUGGAGCUGAAAUCAGUCGAAGAUACCAGCUGGCUGCAACUGUUUAUUAAAAACACAGCACUGUGCAAACACGAAAGUGGACGUAUACGGUGUGACGCCUGCCCGGUGCCGGAAGGUUAAUUGAUGGGGUUAUCCGUAAGGAGAAGCUCUUGAUCGAAGCCCCGGUAAACGGCGGCCGUAACUAUAACGGUCCUAAGGUAGCGAAAUUCCUUGUCGGGUAAGUUCCGACCUGCACGAAUGGCGUAAUGAUGGCCAGGCUGUCUCCACCCGAGACUCAGUGAAAUUGAACUCGCUGUGAAGAUGCAGUGUACCCGCGGCAAGACGGAAAGACCCCGUGAACCUUUACUAUAGCUUGACACUGAACACUGGUCCUUGAUGUGUAGGAUAGGUGGGAGGCUUUGAAGUGUGGACGCCAGUCUGCAUGGAGCCAUCCUUGAAAUACCACCCUUUAAUGGCUGGUGUUCUAACGUGGACCCGUAAUCCGGGUUGCGGACAGUGUCUGGUGGGUAGUUUGACUGGGGCGGUCUCCUCCUAAAGAGUAACGGAGGAGCACGAAGGUUAGCUAAUCCUGGUCGGACAUCAGGAGGUUAGUGCAAAGGCAUAAGCUAGCUUGACUGCGAGAGUGACGGCUCGAGCAGGUGCGAAAGCAGGUCUUAGUGAUCCGGUGGUUCUGAAUGGAAGGGCCAUCGCUCAACGGAUAAAAGGUACUCCGGGGAUAACAGGCUGAUACCGCCCAAGAGUUCAUAUCGACGGCGGUGUUUGGCACCUCGAUGUCGGCUCAUCACAUCCUGGGGCUGAAGUAGGUCCCAAGGGUAUGGCUGUUCGCCAUUUAAAGUGGUACGCGAGCUGGGUUUAGAACGUCGUGAGACAGUUCGGUCCCUAUCUGCCGUGGGCGCUGGAGAAUUGAGGGGGGCUGCUCCUAGUACGAGAGGACCGGAGUGGACGCAUCACUGGUGUUCGGGUUGUCAUGCCAAUGGCAUUGCCCGGUAGCUAAAUGCGGAAGAGAUAAGUGCUGAAAGCAUCUAAGCACGAAACUUGCCCCGAGAUGAGUUCUCCCUGAGACUAUAAGUCUCCUGAAGGAACGUUGAAGACGACGACGUUGAUAGGUCGGGUGUGUAAGUGUAGCGAUACAUUGAGCUAACCGAUACUAAUGAACCGUGAGGCUUAACCU